AUUGAACGCUGGCGGCAGGCCUAACACAUGCAAGUCGAGCGGAUGAAGGGAGCUUGCUCCUGGAUUCAGCGGCGGACGGGUGAGUAAUGCCUAGGAAUCUGCCUGGUAGUGGGGGAUAACGUCCGGAAACGGGCGCUAAUACCGCAUACGUCCUGAGGGAGAAAGUGGGGGAUCUUCGGACCUCACGCUAUCAGAUGAGCCUAGGUGGGAUUAGCUAGUUGGUGGGGUAAAGGCCUACCAAGGCGACGAUCCGUAACUGGUCUGAGAGGAUGAUCAGUCACACUGGAACUGAGACACGGUCCAGACUCCUAAGGGAGGCAGCAGUGGGGAAUAUUGGACAAUGGGCGAAAGCCUGAUCCAGCCAUGCCGCGUGUGUGAAGAAGGUCUUCGGAUUGUAAAGCACUUUAAGUGGGGAGGAAGGGCAGUAAGUUAAUACCUUGCUGUUUUGACGUUACCAACAGAAUAAGCACCGGCUAACUUCGUG
rnacentral:rRNA from 1 species